rnacentral:rRNA from 1 species
GGGUCAGUAGGUUGGUCGUGCCACCGGUACGUACUGGUCUCACUGAUUCCUCCUUCCUGAAGAACCGUAAUGCCAUUAAUUUGGCGUUGCGGGGAAACAGGACUGUUACUUUGAAAAAAUUAGAGUGUUUAAAGCAAGCUAACGCUUGAAUACAUUAGCAUGGAAUAAUGAAAUAGGACGAUCGACCCUAUUUUGUUGGUUUCUAGGAUUGACGUA